rnacentral:rRNA from 1 species
CAGUAGCCGCGGUAAUACGGAGGGCGCGAGCGUUACCCGGAUUUACUGGGCGUAAAGGGCGUGUAGGCGGCCUGGGGCGUCCCAUGCGAAAGGCCACGGCUCAACCGUGGAGGAGCGUGGGAUACGCUCAGGCUAGAGGGUGGGAGAGGGUGGUGGAAUUCCCGGAGUAACGGUGAAAUGCGCAGAUACCGGGAGGAACGCCGAUGGCGAAGGCAGCCACCUGGUCCACUUCUGACGCUGAGGCGCGAAAGCGUGGGGAGCAAACCGGAUUAGAUACCCCCGUAGUCCCUGUCUCUUAUAC